rnacentral:lncRNA from 1 species
UCUCCUUGUUCAGAUCAACCUGCUUAAAGCCCAUUUCCUCCAGCUCCUGCAGCAGUUUCUCUUCUGUAAGACUGUCGAUGUCAAGCGGUGCAUCCACAGGUGUGGUUGCAGCUACGGGCAGAUCCACAGGGAUACUAGUAAGCGAACUUGUGGGCACAUCAGCAGGUGUAGUCGCAGCAGGUCUCGGAAUGACUUCAGCUGCAAGUACAUCAACACUUGGCACGAAAAC